UACCAUGGUGGUAACGGGUAACGGGGUGUUAGGGCACGACACCGGAGAGGGAGCCUGAGAAACGGCUACCACAUCCAAGGAAGGCAGCAGGCGCGCAAAUUACCCAAUCCCGACACGGGGAGGUAGUGACAAUAAAUAACAAUACAGGGCUCUUUUGGGUCUUGUAAUUGGAAUGAGUACAAUUUAAAUCUCUUAACGAGGAACAAUUGGAGGGCAAGUCUGGUGCCAGCAGCCGCGGUAAUUCCAGCUCCAAUAGCGAAUAUUAAAGUUGUUGCAGUUAAAAAGCUCGUAGUUGAAUUUCGGAAUCAAUAUGUCGGUCGUGCUUCGGUACGUACUGGUAUCAUUGGUUUCUCCUUUCUGACGAACCAUGAUGUCAUUAAUUUGGUGUUAUGGGGAGUUAGGACUGUUACUUUGAAAAAAUUAGAGUGUUUAAAGCAGGCUUUAGCUUGAAUACAUUAGCAUGGAAUAAUGAAAUAGGACGUUCGAACCUAUUUUGUUGGUUUCUAGGAUCAACGUAAUGAUUAAUAGGGAUAGUUGGGGGCAUUAGUAUUCAAUUGUCAGAGGUGAAAUUCUUGGAUUUAUUGAAGACUAACUACUGCGAAAGCAUUUGCCAAGGAUGUUUUCAUUAAUCAAGAACGAAAGUUAGGGGAUCGAAGACGAUCAGAUACCGUCGUAGUCUUAACCAUAAACUAUGCCGACUAGGGAUCGGAUGAUGUUAAUUUUUUAAUGACUCAUUCGGCGCCUUACGGGAAACCAAAGUGUUU
rnacentral:rRNA from 1 species